rnacentral:rRNA from 1 species
AGAGUUUGAUCCUGGCUCAGGAUGAACGCUGGCGGCGUGCUUAACACAUGCAAGUCGAACGAAGCACUUACUUUGAUUCCUUCGGGUUGAUUAGUACUGUGACUGAGUGGCGGACGGGUGAGUAACGCGUGGGUAACCUGCCCCAUACAGGGGGAUAACAGAUAGAAAUGUCUGCUAAUACCGCAUAAGACCACAGCGCCGCAUGGUGCAGGGGUAAAAACUCCGGUGGUAUGGGAUGGACCCGCGUCUGAUUAGCUGGUUGGUGAGGUAAAGGCUCACCAAGGCGACGAUCAGUAGCCGACCUGAGAGGGUGACCGGCCACAUUGGGACUGAGACACGGCCCAAACUCCUACGGGAGGCAGCAGUGGGGAAUAUUGCACAAUGGGGGAAACCCUGAUGCAGCGACGCCGCGUGAAGGAUGAAGUAUUUCGGUAUGUAAACUUCUAUCAGCAGGGAAGAAAAUGACGGUACCUGACUAAGAAGCCCCGACUAACUACGUG